CACCUUCGGGUGAGCGGCGGACGGGUGAGUAACGCGUGGGAACGUGCCCUUUGGUACGGAACAACUGAGGGAAACUUCAGCUAAUACCGUAUGUGCCCUUCGGGGGAAAGAUUUAUCGCCAUUGGAGCGGCCCGCGUUGGAUUAGGUAGUUGGUGAGGUAAAGGCUCACCAAGCCUACGAUCCAUAGCUGGUCUGAGAGGAUGAUCAGCCACACUGGGACUGAGACACGGCCCAG
rnacentral:rRNA from 1 species